GAAGAAAUUAAUUUAAUAUCGACCGCUCACUCCAUUCCAGAAAUUCAAUAAAAUCUCGGAAUGUAUUCGAAAUCUUUCUCUACCUAUCUACAUUUAAGUUUAAAUAAAGUAAAUUUGUGGUGAUAUUAUUCUUUUUAUUCGCUGACUUCCAUUGAGGGCAUUAGUUAUAUGGUUCAUACAGAGUAGUGUUAAACAGAAAACAUUUGUGGUUAAAAUUUCUAAACGAUUUAAAUUCAAAUUAACACUUAGAGAAUAAUUUUUCAAUGGAUGAAAGACAUAAGAUAAAAUAAGUAAAAGUUUACUGAAGGUGACGCCGUAACUACGGACAAAACGUUUAGAAAUGAUUAAAGUAGAGUACGGCACAAUGACCUGGAAACAUCAAUCAGGAAUCGUAAAGUUUUCCCGUGAUUUAUUUAUUUUUGUCCCGAUAUUAGAUUAGAUGUAUGUUGUUCACAUAUUUUUGGGCAUUAAAC